rnacentral:rRNA from 1 species
GCAGCAGUGAGGAAUAUUGGUCAAUGGACGCAAGUCUGAACCAGCCACGUCGCGUGAAGGAAGACGGCCCUACGGGUUGUAAACUUCUUUUGUAAGGGAAUAAAGUGAGUCACGUGUGAUGUUUUGCAUGUACCUUACGAAUAAGGAUCGGCUAACUCCGUGCCAGCAGCCGCGGUAAUACGGAGGAUCCGAGCGUUAUCCGGAUUUAUUGGGUUUAAAGGGUGCGCAGGCGGGAGAUUAAGUCGGCGGUGAAAUUUUGCAGCUCAACUGUAAAAGUGCCUUCGAAACUGGUUUUCUUGAGUGUGGAUGAAGUAGGCGGAAUUUGUGGUGUAGCGGUGAAAUGCAUAGAUAUCACGAGGAACUCCGAUUGCGCAGGCAGCUUACUAAACCAUAACUGACGCUCAGGCACGAAGGCGUGGGGAUCAAACAGGAUUAGAUACCCCUGGUAGUCCACCGCAGUAAAACGAUGAUUACCUAGGCUGUUUGCGAUAC